ACACUACAGGAGGGCUUUCACCGGUGACCCGAUAGCUGCUGAGAGAGGGAGGACCAGAGAGAAUAAGUGAUUCAGGAGCAGUCCUGAUGGAGAGACAUUAACACAUUCUGAGAAGACAAUAGUAUGCCAAAAACAUCCAGUAUCAAGCGGUCUCCCACCACAGUGCUGUACGGUAUGAACAGCUAAAGCACUGGGAAUCAAUCAAG